rnacentral:rRNA from 1 species
CGGAUUGUAGGCUGCAACUCGCCUACAUGAAGUUGGAAUCGCUAGUAAUCGCGAAUCAGAAUGUCGCGGUGAAUACGUUCCCGGGUCUUGUACACACCGCCCGUCACACCACGAGAGUUUACAACACCCGAAGUCAGUGGCCUAACCGCAAGGAGGGAGCUGCCUAAGGUGGGGUAGAUGAUUGGGGUGAAGUCGUAACAAGGUACC